UACGUAGGGGGCAAGCGUUGUCCGGAAUCAUUGGGCGUAAAGCGCGUGUAGGCGGCCCUGUAAGUCCGUUCUGAAAGCCCGGGGCUCAACCCCGGGAGGCGGAUGGAUACUGCAAGGCUCGAGUACGGAAGAGGCGAGUGGAAUUCCCGGUGUAGCGGUGAAAUGCGCAGAUAUCGGGAGGAACACCAAUGGCGAAGGCAGCUCGCUGGGACGUUACUGACGCUGAGACGCGAAAGCGUGGGGAGCAAACAGG
rnacentral:rRNA from 1 species